rnacentral:rRNA from 1 species
UACGUAGGUGGCGAGCGUUAUCCGGAAUCAUUGGGCGUAAAGAGGGAGCAGGCGGUCUGAGAGGUCUGUGGUGAAAGCCCGAAGCUAAACUUCGGUAAGCCAUGGAAACCGGCGGACUAGAGUGCGGCAGAGGAACGUGGAAUUCCAUGUGUAGCGGUGAAAUGCGUAGAUAUAUGGAGGAACACCAGUGGCGAAGGCGACGUUCUGGGCCGCAACUGACGCUCAGUCCCGAAAGCGUGGGGAGCAAA